GCCUGGGUGGCUCAGUCAUUUAAGAGUCUGACUUCAGCUCAGGUCAUGAUCUCACAGUUCGUGGGUUCGAGCCCCACAUCGGGCU
rnacentral:tRNA from 1 species